GCCGCUUUAACUCAGUCGGUAGAGUGCUCGUUUCAUAGGCGAGUUGUCAGAGGUUCAAGUCCUCUAAGCGGUA
rnacentral:tRNA from 1 species